GGGGGUAUGGCGCAGCUGGUAGCGCGUCUGCAUGGCAUGCAGAAGGUCACGGGUUCGAGUCCCGUUACCUCCA
rnacentral:tRNA from 5 species